rnacentral:rRNA from 1 species
UACGGGGGGGGCAAGCGUUGUUCGGAAUUACUGGGCGUAAAGGGCUCGUAGGCGGCCAACUAAGUCAGACGUGAAAUCCCCAGGCUCAACCUGGGAACUGCGUCUGAUACUGGAUGGCUUGAAUUCGGGAGAGGGAUGCAGAAUUCCAGGUGUAGCGGUGAAAUGCGUAGAUAUGUGGAGGAACACCAGUGGCGAAGGCGACUUUCUGGCCUAUAACUGACGCUGAGGCGCGAAAGCGUGGGGAGCAAACAGG